CACCUGAUAGCACACGGUGUGCACCUGCCCUUACUUCCUGUGAACUCUUGUGAGAAUAUCUGUGGCAGGAGGUCCCCGUUCGACUCGGGGUCGGGUGA